CGCUAGUCUCCCCUGAAUGUGGGUUCACUAUCUUCCCAGCGGGGUGUGAAAGCCAGUUCAGCUCCUGAACCCCACAAUUGUUCAACAGCCUUUUGGUGCCUGACCGGUUUCCGAAGACAGAAUCUGGACGACUAGGACAUUUUCUUUCGAUACACAAGGGUCUUUGACAACCCCAGUAACUUUUCCAGUGGAAUUUGUUUUUGCUCUAAAAAUUAAAAUGUGCGAUGUGACGUGUUGUGUGUGAACACUUUGGUGGAGGAGACGGGCUGUGGUGCAUGGAACAUGGAGAGGAAGCCAGAAAGGUCAAGGCUGUAAACAGAAGUACGUGGACAACAUCUGCAGACUCGCUUCAUUUUACUUUAUUCUCCUCUUCAGCCUUAGAAAUCUCAACUUACAGAGAGGGGAAGAUGGGAACUUGGUUCGAUAGCUCUUUUUGUCUGUGGGGAGCUUACAUCUCAAGUCACAAAGGGAAAAUAAAUAUAACAAGAAAUAAAAAUACACAUCC
rnacentral:lncRNA from 1 species